AUUGAACGCUGGCGGCAUGCUUUACACAUGCAAGUCGAACGGUAACAGGCCGCAAGGUGCUGACGAGUGGCGAACGGGCGAGUAAUGCAUCGGAACGUGCCCAGUCGUGGGGGAUAACUACUCGAAAGAGUAGCUAAUACCGCAUACGAUCUAUGGAUGAAAGCGGGGGACCGUAAGGCCUCGCGCGAUUGGAGCGGCCGAUGUCAGAUUAGGUAGUUGGUGGGGUAAAGGCUCACCAAGCCAACGAUCUGUAGCUGGUCUGAGAGGACGACCAGCCACACUGGGACUGAGACACGGCCCAGACUCCUACGGGAGGCAGCAGUGGGGAAUUUUGGACAAUGGGCGCAAGCCUGAUCCAGCAAUGCCGCGUGCAGGAAGAAGGCCCUCGGGUUGUAAACUGCUUUUGUACGGAACGAAACGGCUCUGGUUAAUACCCGGGGCUAAUGACGGUACCGUAAGAAUAAGCACCGGCUAACUACGUG
rnacentral:rRNA from 1 species